CGCUAGGACGGGGCGGGGGGGAGCCCUCGGACGCGGCGCCUGCGCAAGCUGCUGCGCCGGCUGAGCCGUGGGCGAUUAGGACCGCCUGCAGGGCGCGGACACUGCGCAUGCUUCACACAGCCGGUCCUCCCUGGAGUUCCCAGCGCGUCUGGCUUUCCGUGGAUGUUGCGGCCCGCCCGGGACGGGACAGGAAGGGAAAACACUGGACGAGCGGAGGAACGCAUCCUCGGUGAGGAUACAAGGAAAAGUCAGCAGUAUGCAAAUGAGAAGACAGCUCUCCCCAGAACCUGACCAUACUGGCACCCUGAUCCUCGACCUCCAGCCGCCAGAACUAGCUGGAACACAUAAUCCUAAAAUUUGUAUGGAACCAGAAAAGACCCUGAAUGGCCAAAGGAAUGUUGGAAAAGAAAACCAAAGCUGGUGGCAUCACAAUUCUGGACUUUAAGCUCUAUUACAAAGCUGUCAUCAUCAAGACAGUAUGGUACUGGCACAAAAACAGACACAUAGAUCAAUGGAACAGAAUAGAGAGCCCAGAAAUGGACCCUCAACUCUCUAGUCAACUAAUCUUCAACAAAGCAGGAAAGAAUAUCCAAUGGAAAAAAGACAGUCUCUUCAACAAAUGGUGUUGGGAAAAUUGUACAGCCAUAUGCAGAAGAAUGAAACUGGACCAUUUUCUUACACCAUACAUGAAAAUAAACUCAAAAUGGAUGGAAGACCUAAGUGGGAGAAAGGAAUCCAUCAAAAUCCUAGAGGAGAACACAGGCAGCAACCUCUUCGAGUUUGGCCACAGCAACUUCUUGCUAGACACGUCUCCAAAGGCAAGGGAAACAAAAGCAAAAAUGAACUAUUGGGUCCUCAUCAAGAUAAAAAGCUUUUGCACAGCAAAGGAAACAGUCAAUAAAACCAAAAGACAACCUACUAAAUGGGAGAAGAUAUUUGCAAAUGUCUUAUCAGAUAAAGGGCUCGCAUCCAACAUCUAUAAAGAACUACCUCUUUCUAACAAUAAAUGACAUUCACCAAUAGAUUUUGAAAGGGAUAGAUCAAUAAAAUUUGACUAAGUAUGUGUAAUAAUUAUCAAACUUUAGAACAUAUUUUAAUCAAAUUUUUACUAUUAAUAAUUGUAAGUAUAGAUACAACUUUCAAAUAAUUUUAAAUAAUAAAAGGCUUUCAAACAUAAAAAUAUGCUGCAUUAAAUAAAGUUCUGGGAAAGGAAAAUGGAGUGGAAAUGAGUUUCCAGUGGGAAAAAGGAAUGAUGUAAAAUCAGUCUUUUUUUUUU